UCAACUUUCGAUGGUAGGAUAGAGGCCUACCAUGGUGGUAACGGGUAACGGGGUGUUAGGGCACGACACCGGAGAGGGAGCCUGAGAAACGGCUACCACAUCCAAGGAUGGCAGCAGGCGCGCAAAUUACCCAAUCCCGACACGGGGAGGUAGUGACAAUAAAUAACAAUACGGGGUCCUUUAGGGUUUCGUAAUUGGAAUGAGUACAAUUUAAAUCUCUUAACGAGGAACAAUUGGAGGGCAAGUCUGGUGCCAGCAGCCGCGGUAAUUCCAGCUCCAAUAGCGUAUAUUAAAGUUGUUGCAGUUAAAAAGCUCGUAGUUGAAUUUCGGGAUCAGUACGCUGGUCGUGCCUUCGGUAUGCACUGGUGUCACUGGUUUCUCCCUUCUGAAGAACCAUCAUGCCAUUCAGUUGGUGUGGCGGGAAAUCAGGACUGUUACUUUGAAAAAAUUAGAGUGUUUAAAGCAGGCUCGCGCUUGAAUACAUUAGCAUGGAAUAAUGAAAUAGGACGUUUGACCCUAUUUUGUUGGUUUCUAGGAUCGACGUAAUGAUUAAUAGGGAUAGUUGGGGGCAUUAGUAUUCAAUUGUCAGAGGUGAAAUUCUUGGAUUUAUUGAAGACUAACUACUGCGAAAGCAUUUGCCAAGGAUGUUUUCAUUAAUCAAGAACGAAAGUUAGGGGAUCGAAGACGAUCAGAUACCGUCGUAGUCUUAACCAUAAACUAUGCCGACUAGGGAUCGGAUGAUGUUAAUUUUUUAAUGACUCAUUCGGCGCCUUACGGGAAACCAAAGUGUUUGGGUUC
rnacentral:rRNA from 1 species